rnacentral:misc_RNA from 1 species
GGGGUGGUUGGUUUGGUGUGGGGUUGGAGAUAAGGGGAAGAGAGAGAAGGAAAUAAGGGAAAAAAGUAGAGGGAAUGAGUGAGGACCCAAAAACAAGGUAGAAGGAGAUCUGAGGUACAUGGAUGUUGAAAAUAGAAGUAUCAGCUGCAGACAAUUCCAAGUGUGGUGGUUUGGUAAGAUUUCAAUGGCUUUCCAGCACAUCAACACUGGAUCCUAGAAAAUCAGGAAGUUAUGAGAAUGGUGAUGUGGCCUCAACCAGAGACACAGCUUGCUGAUGGUGGUGGCUCAUGAGGUGCAACUCUUCUGUUGGGCCCACCUUGCCAGACAAACUAGAGCUAGUCCCCUAUGCCCUUGCACUAAGCCAGCCUUUAACAAUUGUGGUGCAAAUCAUAGAAUUUAUAUCUAGCAAAAAGACCCAUUUUCUAGUUUACAUGAUUUUCCCCCCUGUUUUUUAUAGGCCAGGAAAACCCCUAGGAGCAAGUAUAAGCUUUAAAUAUGUCAGAGUUGCCUCAAAAAACAAUACUUGGGACAGAAAAAAGGAAACUAAUUAUUUAUAAACUAUAGAACAUACUCCAUAGAAAUUGAUAGGGAUAUAGAUGAAAGAGCAAUGGAGUAUUCUAAAGAAAAGGCUAACAGAAGGAAUAGAGGG